AAAAAAUCCGGUCAAAUUUUCAUUGUAAAUAUGAAUUCCUUUGUUAUAAGAGCAGCUAAACUUUAUUUGGCCACUACAGGAGCAACUGUUAAUGGUCAUUAUGGAGAAAUCCUUUACAAGGGAGAUAGGUUAGUUACGUUUAUAUAUGAAAAAUCGAGAUCUAGUGACAUAACGCAAGGUCUUCCAAAAGUGGAACAAAUCUUUGAAGUGCGUUCAAUUGAUUCAUUAUCCCCGAAUCUCAAAAGGAGAAUUGAGGAUUGGAAUGAGCGUAUACCAAGAAUUCUUGGGGUCCCUUGGGGAUUACGACACUAG
rnacentral:rRNA from 1 species